rnacentral:rRNA from 1 species
CCUACGGGUGGCUGCAGUGAGGAAUAUUGGUCAAUGGACGAGAGUCUGAACCAGCCAAGUAGCGUGAAGGAUGACUGCCCUAUGGGUUGUAAACUUCUUUUAUAUGGGAAUAAAAUGUUCCACGUGUGGGAUUUUGUAUGUACCAUAUGAAUAAAGAUGGGCUAACUCCGUGCCAGCAGCCGCGGUAAUACGGAGGAUCCGAGCGUUAUCCGGAUUUUUUGGGUAUAAAGGGAGCGUAGGUGGAUUGUUAAGUCAGUUGUGAAAGUUUGCGGCGCAACCGUAAAAUUGCAGUUGAAACUGGCAGUCUUGAGUACAGUAGAGGUGAGCGGAAUUCGUGGUGUAGCGGUGAAAUGCUUAGAUAUCACGAAGAACUCCGAUUGCGAAGGCAGCUUACUGGACUGCAACUGACACUGAGGCUCGAAAGUGUGGGUAUCAAACAGGAUUAGAUACCCCAGUAGUC